GGGGCUAUAGCUCAGCUGGGAGAGCGCCUGCCUUGCACGCAGGAGGU
rnacentral:tRNA from 1 species